CAGACAGGUACUGAGGUGCCGAGCCACGCACAGCCUUAGAGGUGAGCAGGAGGACUCAAAACCUGACAGGAAGCCAGUGCAGGGACUCCAGGACAGGAGUGAUAUGGUCACUUGCACUGGACAUGGUCAGGAUUCCGGCUGCCGAAUUCCGGACACACCGCAGUCUGUUCAGAGCGGGUCUAGAUACCCCUGGGAGUAGAGUGCGAUAGUCACGACAAGACAGUGAACAGUUACCUGUGUAACCUGUGUUACCUGUGUUUACCAAUUUCACAGACGCAGGGAUGGACAAGCGAGUAUUCGGGAGCCCUACUGCUGGCCAGAGGGAAGAAGCCAGUUUUCAGGAUGAAGAACAACCACAGGAUUGAUGGGAAACUGUCCACGAGGAGGAGAGCAGCUCCUCUCCCGCAAGACGGGGGUCUGUGAUUCUCUCCAGGCCGUGCAGGAGGGACGCUGGACACUCGAACCCGCCUCACCUCUCAUUCUCCUCCCUCAGCCUGUCCAGCUCCCGCUCCCUGUCCGCCCGCCGCUGGACCUCGCUGUCCAGACGCUCCUUCUCCGCCCGCAGCCCCGACUCGGCCUCCUCCAGCUGGGCCCAGCGGUCCGACAGCUGGCCGAACCUGGAGCACAGCGGCACGGGUCAGCGCGGGUCAGCACGGACAGCUGGACACAGGGUCUGCACGGACAGCUGGACACAGGGUCAGCACGGGACAGCACGGACAGCUGGACACAGGGUCAGCACGGACAGCUGGACACAGGGUCAGCACAGGUCAGCACGGACAGCUGGACACUGGUCAGCACGAGUCAGCUUGACACAGGGUCAGCAAGGACAGCUGGACACAGGGUCAGCACGGGUCAGCACAGACAGCUGGACACUGGUCAGCAUGAGUCAGCUGGACACAGGGUCAGCAUGGGUCAGCAUGGAGAGCUGGACACAGGUCAGCACGGACAGCUGGACACAGGUCAGCACGGGUCAGCUGGACACAAGGUCAGCACAGGUCAGCACAGACAGCUGGACACUGGUCAAAGCGGGUCAGCUGGACACGGGUCAGCACGGACAGCUGGACACAGGGUCAGCACGGGUCAGAACAUACAGCUGGACACAGGUCAGCACGGGU
ensembl:lincRNA